UUGUGCUUCUCGAUAUGCUAUUGCCGUUGUAGUUAUAGAUACUGAAAGGGGUUGUGUGCAUGCUUUGCUCUUCUUGCGCUAGUGAAACUUCUUGCUGUGUUAGUUGCUCAGAAAGCCGGCUUUUCCAAAUAGUUUUGCUGUUUGAAAAUAUUUACCUUAUUCCGUUAGAGCCAACUCCAAAAAGUACAUUUUCCAUUGCUCGAAAUACACACCUGACGGAACGGAAUACUGGUCUGACAGUCAAAAUAUAAAUAAAAGACCCAUCCCUCGGUUCGUGGCUGCGUGCGCAUCCGUCUCUGGCUUGGAGACCGAGUCGGUCCGCGAACCGAUACCGAGGACACGGAUUUUGAACCCAAGCGGCCAGUCAGUCAGUUGCAAACCGACGGUAACCGAGUGCGGUACGGCACAAACAUUCUCUACCAGAGUGAUUAUUUCAGCAGCAUCCGGCGGUCCAGCUGAAAGUGUGAGCGCGUACGUGACAAAGUGUUGUGAUAAGAAGUGAUCGAAAGCUAUCGCCGAGCGGAAGGGAACGCCUAAGAGCGUGUAGCGAAACAGAAUGUCUGGCGACACGCAGCCCAAGAAGCGGAAGGACAAAAAGAGGAAGAAAGAUGAUGAAGAUACGGUUAAGGAAACAACGGUCCAUGCCCCGAAGCAACCGUCCGCUGGGGCCGCUCAAGCAGCGAAAGAACCGGGCGACAUCCAAAUGCACAUCCACAGCGAUCACGGUACCGGCGGCCACUGGUGUGCGAAGGUCGUCUUCUUUAUCCUGCUGGCCGGGCUGGGCGCACUGAUCGGACUGAUCCUGAUGGAAAGUCAGGGCGUCUCGAACGACGAUACGCCACUGUCGGAAUCACGGUACUCCGAAUUCUUCAACGGUUGGGUCGACGAAACACGGCAGGACGAGCAUCAUCACGAUGAAAUCCUGGCCGCCAUUAACUCGCUGGAAGAUCAUGACGAUGGUGAGGCACAGCAUGCCGUCGACGAUCACGACGAUGGAGAUGAUGAUGGACACGAUCAGGAUGGCGAUGACGAGCACGACGAUGGUGCGCCGUACGCAGAGGAAGAAGAUCACGAUGACGAUGAGGAGGGUACGGACGUGCAGGAUGAUGAUGAGGAUGAAGGACCGGCGCAAAAGCUGGAUGAUGAUGAGGUGGAGGAGAUCUUUACCCAGCAGGAAGCAGGCGCACAACAAGAGGCUGCCGCUGCGGCUGAAGAUGACGAUAACGAUGAUGAUGAGGAUGAGGAUGAGGAUGGCGAUGGCCAGGACGACGACGACGAUGAUGAAGCCGGUGCCAACGAUAACACUAACGUUGUUGUCGAUGAUGAUAAUGAUGAUGAUGAUGAUGGCGGUGACGAUGAUAAGAAUGAAGAUACAACUGACGUACAAGAUAACGAUGAUGAUAACGACGAAGACGACAAAAAUGACAAUGAUCAGGAUGACGCCGAUGACAAUGAUGGUAAAGAGGAUGUCGAUGGUGAUGACGAUGUAUUGACAAAUAUUAAACCAGAAAAGAACGACGACAAUGACAAUGAUGAUGAUGAGGAGGAUGAAAAUGUAACAGCUGCUACGGAAAAGGAUGGUGAAGAUGAUGAUGAUGAUUUUGAAGUAGAUAAUGAGGAAAGCAAUGCUGAAUCCGCCGUAAAGACCGAUGCAGCUGGAAAUACUAACGUCGCGGAUGGUGACGAUGAUGAUGACGACGAUCAGGAUGACACACUAUUUGAUGAAGAUCAAUCUAAUGCUUUGAAUGAUAGCUCUAACCAAAGUUUGCCAGCACCGCUUGAACAUAGCUUUACCGAGGGCGACAUUCUGAAACGUUCCGCGCAAAACUCCAGAACCUCAGAAGCAGACGAUCCGGCACGGAAACAGGCUUCAUCACCAACCACGCCCUCAGCCGACGAGACUGUUACGGGUGACACGUUGAAAGAUCAGAUGGAUGAGUUGGUACGAAAUUAUAACAAGCUUGCGGAGUCGUUGAAUGUGCCAAAAGUUGAAGUUCAAGAGGCGGUUGGCGUGCAGGACGCGGAUGACGAUGGUGAUGAGGCAGAAAUUGAAGAAGUAACCCGUGGAUCUCAACCAGCAGACGAUGACGAUGAUGAGGCUUUCGGUGAACUCGUUGACAACGAUGAAGGAGAGGAAGAAUAUUUGGAGAAGGUGCGCACCGAACAGCAGCGCCGUGCAGCAGCCGAAGAAGAGCGCCGUGCCGCUGCCGAACCGGUAGAGGAAUCCUCACUUACCGUAAAAAUCUUUGUCGGUGUCGCACUGCUCGGCGCUGCGCAUCUACUCUUAACUAGUCCGCGUGCUCCUACUACGAAAAAAGCAACAAAUCAAACAGACGAAACGACACGAACGGCGGCAAGUGUUCCCGUCAUCAGCGAACCAGCACCACUUAAUCGUUCCGCCGAACAACGCCAAGCGCUAAACGCUUCGCCAACCGCAACGGUGUUGGAUGAUUUUCUUUAUGCUGGCCCACCGGAUCAAUUGCAAUCGGAAAAGGAUCAAGGGAUCGAAGGAAAUGUGAUCCUAUUUGACGAGAACGAUGAUGCCGAACGAUACUCAGGCGAUGAGUACGAGUACGAACUGGAAGAACUGGAGGAAGAAGCCGAACCCGAAGAGGUUGACGAAGAGGAAGAAAAGCAGCUCAUUAAGCAGGAGCAAGAAAUCGGUGCCUUUGUACCGAUUACGUUUGAAGAUUUUAACUCCAUGUACCGAGUGCCCACAGAAGUGGCUGAUGCUGAUGUGCCGAUGGCCGCCCGACAGCAGGAAGCAGAAAUCCCUGUUCCCUCACCAACAAUCGAACGAUCCUCGUCGAAACGGGGGACGAAAGACUCACUGCUGGCACGCAAAAAACCACCCAAAGGUGCCUUUAACAAGCUCAUAUAUAUAACAAGUCUGCAUAAAGAUCCAAUCGUUAUACCGUUGGACGAACCGGAAUCCACGAUCCGGGCGGCAGCAAGUGAAAACGUAAGUGCGAAGGUUGAGGCAAAGUCCGUCCUGACGGCAUUGCUUUCGGAAAUCCCAUCACCACCGAUCGAGCCCGAUCAUGCAUUCGUUACGCUUGUCCCCACCGGAUCCACCACACCCUCAACAUCGGUUGUACUACCGUCGGCCCCGAGCACUGGGGUAGCUCAGCCGGCGGUGAAAGCGAAGCACGUCGAAUUUCUGCUACCCGAGCGGGAUGACGAGCCGGAGUCAGAGCGUACCUCAUCACCCCUGCCGGUGAGCGAUAAUGGUAGCAAGGAGAACCUGUUCAUACCGCAGGACACCAGCGAGGAAGAGCUCGAACCGAACGAAUACGGUGAGGAAGAGUACGGCGAGUACGCGCAGGAGGAGGAGGACGAGCUUGUGUACGAGGACGAGGAGAUCGACGAUAUUGAGUCGGUGCUGCUGAAUCAGUACGGUUCGGACGAGGAGGAAGAACCGCUGACAGACGACAACAUUCCGCCGGGCGGCGAUGAAGAGGAAGCGUCCGACGUCGACGAUUCCGACCUGAUGCGACGGUUGGAGGAGAAGUACGGCAAGCUGCCGGCUGCCACCACCGAAGCCGCACCCGCAGCAGACGGUAACGGCGACGAUGAGGAGGCGGCUGCUGCAGGCUGGACAAAAAUCCCCUCGAGGGCUGAAGAGGCUGAUCGGUCCUAUCAGGAAGAGCUAAGAAGAGCUGAGCAGCAACUCGACGAGGAAUUUGGGUUCGAAUAAAAGCCCACCCAUUGAAGAGCAAAGUAUCAACUGCUCCAAUUACAUUUACAAAUCCUACUCCCCCAAAGUUAAAAUAGUAAUUGCCUGAGCGCAUCGGAACAAUGUGUGUGCGUUUAAGACAUCCCCUUUAGUUUUUAGAGUGAACAUAGAGAAUGGUGGUGAAGAAUCUUACAAGAGAAGUCGGCACAUAGCCGGAGAAGAAAGGAUGACUAGUGAUAGCACACAAUCAUCAGCAUGUUAAGAGAUACUCUCUCGGACAACCCGAGGACGUGGAGACGGACAGAAAACAAACUGGUAACUGAACAAGACUAGACAAUGGACGACAUAUACAGAACACAGGACGCUUUUUACGAAUGAAAGUUGUGUGUGUGUGUUGACGACAAGUGAACUAACGCCGCCAGUUAUGGGAUAUAGCCAAUCAAUAUGAGAAUAAAGUGUUUGUAGCGUGUGUGCGUGUGUGUGCGCGCCUGUGUGUACUGAUCUGUGAUGCAAUUGCCUUUGAAGCUUAACUUCACAACACCCAGAGCAAUUGGUUUGAGAAGUUUAUCGAGCUCUUCCAACGUUACAAAAAUAAAUAGGAAUGCUUCGAUUCGUUCAUUGAAGUGUGGUUUUGGACACCCACCCAAAACGUAACACCGGAACCACGGCCGGCAAGAUCACUCGAAUGCAGUGGACGGCAUGGAAUCGUCUCCAUCGUCUCCUGCAAUUGAACGGAUUGUGAAAACAUUCCUAUUACGUACCGGGAAUGGUAGCUCUUCCACCAUUUUGUUUGUGUUUAUCGCAAUAACUAAUGUAUUUGCUUUUUUAUUUUUUCCCCUUUAUCCCUCCCUAUAUUACGCUUACCCCAAAAAAUGCUUCAACUCUGACUCUACUGCUGCUGCUGCUGUACUCCUUUCGCGCAUUUAAACCUUCCGCCCUAACAAUACGCCUGCCUGUGUGUGCGUGUGCGUGUGAUUGUUUUUGUUCUGCAUCAAUAUUAACACCCCUCUGUAACAACCUGGAUGUUGCCACCAAACGCCUGGCCAUUAAAUGGACACAUUUACCUGACCGGACCGGAACACGCACACAAACCACUACACCUCUGGAGUAGGGCAAGCCCCAAGAAGCGUUAGCCAUCUUUGAUCGUAUUAUCCUGGGCAAGCCAAAGUCUAUUGCGGCGUUAGUCGGACGAGCACGAUGCUUGGAUGCGCUGGCAGAACAGCGGCGUAGUAACGCGAUCCUUACCGAAGCGAUCACCGCCUACCGGAAGGUGAUCGAGCAAGAACUUGCGGUGGACGAUGCAACGUUUAAGGCUGUCGCGGAACGAUGCAUCGAUCGUAUGCGCUUUCAGGGACAGCAUGCGAAGGCGAUCGACGUGCACAAGGCGCUGAUUCGACGAUUCGACAACGAACCGCAGUAUCGGAAUCAGCUCGCCGUUAGCUAUCUCUACAUGAACAGACUUGCCGAAGCGAAAGCCGUUCUCCACGAAACUCUUCUUCGCUGGAUCGACGAUGGAUUCGCGCUGGUACACUACGGAUUCGUGCUGAAAACGCUCGAUCAAAACAUGGAACUUGCUGCCCAAUAUCUCCAGGAGGGGAUCGAAACCGAACACCCAGGCACACAGGAUGGACGGUUCUACUUCCAGCUUGGUGACGCUUUGCAACGCCUGGGGCGCAACGGUGAAGCGCUAAACGUCUACCGCAAAGGAGUCCAAAAGAAGCUGUUCCUUUCGCUCUACCAACGCUCCCUGUACAAUGUGGAAGGAUUGCGAUCGCGCCCUUUCUGGACGGAGGAGCAAACGACCUACACAACCGAGCUGGAGCUGAUCCGUGCCCAAUGGCAACAGGUACGAGACGAAGGUCUGAAGCUGCUGAACAGUGCCGGUGUGUUUGUGAACGAGUCGGAAAAUCUGCGCGAUCGGGGAGAUUGGAAGCAGCUGGAACUGUUUUCCCGUGGUACCCGGGUGGAGCGUAACUGUGCUCGUGCACCGCUAACAUGUCGGCUGGUGGAGCAAUACUUCCCCGCAGCCCGUACAUGCAAGCGCGGUCAGGUGAAGUUUAGCGUGAUGCAUCCCGGGACGCACGUGUGGCCCCACUGUGGUCCAACGAACUGUCGCAUACGAGCGCAUUUGGGGCUGAGUGUGCCACAGGGUACUUACAUACGGGUGGCUGAAGAAACACGAUCCUGGGAGAACGGCAAAUGGUUAAUAUUUGACGAUAGCUUCGAGCACGAGGUGUGGCACAACGGGACGGAAACGCGUUUGGUGCUGAUUGUGGACUUUUGGCAUCCGGAGCUUACGGAAAGCCAGCGGCGCACACUGUCCCCUAUCUAGGUUCGGCUGGCUUAUCUAGUAACCAGUAUCGAGAAUUUGCAUUUGUACCCUUAUUUCACAGCUAGAGCGUGUGUUUUACUUCUCUGUUUUUUAUGUUUAUUUUACAGUAAAGACAAUUUAGUGCCUUUAUGCAACUUUGUGAGUGAGUUUUGCAUUAGUGUAGGAUGAUAAUGUAGGGACGAAAAUGGAUAAAUUACUCAAAAAAAAUCUGUUCUCGAAUCACACGCGUGUUUACAACCAAAGUUAAGUAGCGAACCGUUUGUUACCUACCGGAGCUAGCCUACUGCGUUUUACGGGUUAUCGAGGGUGUUAUUUUGUACAGGAGCAGAAAACAGGGGAGCCUUAUAAAGACGAACAAAAAUACAGCAUACGUUUAGGAAGGACUGAAUGACUGAAGGACUGGUAGGACAAGAAACGGAAUAAGUGAGAGAGUGUGUUUGUAGGAAGGUCUUGGAAAUAGUUUCCUUUGGUGAAAUUUUCAUUACAAUCGGGAGAGAUAAGGUCAGGAAAAAUCAGGACAAUUGCGUGAAACAAUUUUGUUAGUGAGAAACACCCUUCCAAGCAUUGGGAGGUGAAUAAAAAAACGAUUAAAAUCAAA